CCCAGAGGUAUUGAUUGGUGAGUGUCAACAUUCGUGUUGAACCCAUUGUCCUUGCACCAACCUACGCAGAUGCGUAGGUUUUUUUU
rnacentral:sRNA from 1 species